AGAGUUUGAUUCUGGCUCAGAACGAACGCUGGCAGUGUGGAUUAGGCAUGCAAGUCGAACGAAAUCCAAGGCAUCCAAGUAGCAAUAUGAGGAUGUCUUGGUGACAGUGGCGAAAGGGUGAGGAACGCGUGGGCAAUCUGCCUUUAAGUUGGGGAUAACCAGUCGAAAGGCUGGCUAAUACCGAAUGUGAAACUCCGGUGAUGCCGGAGUCUUUAAAGAUGGGGAUCUUCGGACCUGUCGCUUGAAGAGGAGCCCGCGUCCUAUCAGCUUGUUGGAGAGGUAACGGCCCACCAAGGCUUACGGGUAGCUGGUCUGAGAGGAUGGUCAGCCACACUGGGACUGAGACACUGCCCAGACUCCUACGGGAGGCUGCAGUCGAGGAUCAUUCGCAAUGGGCGCAAGCCUGACGAUGCGACGCUGCGUGGAGGAUGAAGGCCUUCGGGUCGUAAACUCCUGUCAUUCGGGAACAAGAUACUGUCGUUAAUAUCGACGGGAUGAGAUAGUACCGGAAGAGGAAGCCACGGCUAACUCUGUGCCAGCAGCCGCGGUAAUACAGAGGUGGCGAGCGUUGUUCGGAUUUACUGGGCGUAAAGGGUGCGUAGGUGGUUUGGUGUGUCGGAUGUGAAAUCCCACUGCUCAACGGUGGAAUGGCAUUCGAAACUACUAGACUGGAGUGCAGGAGAGGAGAGCGGAAUUCUCGGUGUAGCGGUGGAAUGCGUUGAUGUCGAGAAGAACACCGGUGGCGAAGGCGGCUCUCUGGAAUGCAACUGACACUGAGGCACGAAAGCGUGGGGAGCAAACAGGAUUAGAUACCCUGGUAGUCCACGCCCUAAACGGUGCUCACUUGGUGUGGGGAGAUUUGACCCUCUCCGUGCCGGAGCUAACGCGUUAAGUGUGCCGCCUGGGGAGUACGGUCGCAAGAUUAAAACUCAAAGAAAUUGACGGGGGCCCGCACAAGCGGAGGAGCAUGUGGCUUAAUUCGAUGCAACGCGAAGAACCUUACCAGGGCUUGACAUGCAGCUGCACGUCCCGUGAAAGCGGGAUUCCUUCGAGGGUGCUGCACAGGUGCUGCAUGGCUGUCGUCAGUUCGUGCCGUGAGGUGUUAGGUUAAGUCCUGCAACGAACGCAACCCCUGUGUCUAGUUGCUACCGCGGUGAUGAACCGGCGAGCACUCUAGACAGACUGCCCGUGAUAAGCGGGAGGAAGGUGGGGAUGACGUCAAGUCAGUAUGGCCUUUAUGCCCUGGGCUGCACACGUGCUACAAUGAUCGGUACAGAGGGAAGCAAGACCGCAAGGUGGAGCAAAUCCCAGAAAACCGACCUCAGUUCGGAUUGAAGUCUGCAACUCGACUUCAUGAAGUUGGAUUCGCUAGUAAUGGCGCAUCAGCUACGGCGCCGUGAAUACGUUCCCGGGCCUUGUACACACCGCCCGUCACAUCAUGAAAGC
rnacentral:rRNA from 1 species